CCCUUAGACGUUCUGGGCCGCACGCGCGCUACACUGACAAAGGCAACGAGCUACUCUUCACCGAAAGGUGUGGGUAAUCUUUUGAAACUUUGUCGUGCUGGGGAUAGAUCCUUGCAAUUUUUGAUCUUAAACGAGGAAUUCCUAGUAAGCGCAAGUCAUCAACUUGCGUUGAUUACGUCCCUGCCCUUUGUACACACCGCCCGUCGCUACUACCGAUUGAAUGGUUUAGUGAGGCCUUCGGAUCCGCGACUCGUUUGUGGAGAAGUUGGACAAACUCAGUCAUUUAGAGGAAGUAAAAGUCGUANCA
rnacentral:rRNA from 1 species